GUAGUCGUGGCCGAGUGGUUAAGGCGACGAACUAGAAAUCCGUUGGGAUUUUCCGACGCAGGUUCGAGUCCUGUCGACGACG
rnacentral:tRNA from 1 species